UUUGUAUUUUUUUUGGUAGAGAUGGGGUUUUACCAUGUUGGCCAGGUUGGUCUCAAACUCCUGACCUCAAGUGAUCUGCCCACCUCAGCCUCCCAAAGUGCUGAGAUUACAGGCAUGAGCCACUGUACCCAGUCUCCAGGGCCUUUUAAAGAAUGUCACUAAUCCCAUUCUUGAGGUCUCCACCUUCAUUAUCUAAUCACCUCCCAAAGGCUCCACAUCCCAACACCAUCAUAUUGUGGGUUAAGAUUUCAACCACAAGCCAGGCGUGGUGGCUCAUGCCUGUAAUCCCAGCAUUUUGGAAGGCUGAGGCAGGUGGAUCACCUGAGGUCAGGAGUUCAAGACCAGCCUGACCCAUAU
rnacentral:lncRNA from 1 species